GAUGACGAGAAACAAACGAAUUGCAAAAGCUGUCAGCUGGAGCAACGAUCGAUACUGGGCAACUUGGGACAAGUGGAUGGAAGUGAUUGACUGGGAAGAUGAGGAAGAGCUGUGCUCCCCAGCAGAAUCACCCUCUGACCAGGCUGACCGUUCCAUCGUGUCACACACCCGAAAGCCAAUUGCCAAGGCAGUUAGCUGGACGGAUGAUGUGUAUUGGGCAGCCUGGGACAAGUGGGAUGAGAUCAUCUGCUGGGGUGAAGAAGGAGAGUGCUCCCCAGCAACUCCACCCAUCAACCAGCCUGGGAGGGAUAAGGGGUUAGACAUGCAUGGGUUAGAGGUUUUUCUGUUAAAUGAAAGGACAGUCUCCAUAAAGCCUGCAGAUGACCACCAAGACAGGCUGAAAAUAGGAGCCGUAGUGGUCGACCUCUGCCAGUUUGAGCUAGAUGGUGUAAAUGAUAAAUUUGAAAUUGUCGAAAUACAAAUUGGAGAGGUCAAAUUGGAGGAGACUGCAGAGAGGGGUUUUAAUUCAGAAUUUGAAUUGGAAAUUAUGGAUGUGGAGAUAGAGGUUGUAGACAGUGAAUUCCAGCUGAAUGCUCUUAAUUGGGAAAUUGCUGGAACUAAAGUGGACAAAUUAUUAGUGGAACACCUGAACAUAAAUAAUCUAGAAGCAGGCAGUGUGAAGGUGUCCACAUCAAAUGGGAAUGUGGUAUAUGUCAAUGGUAUGUGAGUGUGUUUGGUAAUGAUGGGUGUGAAUGGUGUGUGUAAGUGGUGUGUGUGUGUAUGAGAAUGGUGAUUGAAUGGUGUGUGUGAGGUAAUGGCGUGUGAGUGAAUGGUGUGUGUGAGUGACAGGUGUGUGAAUGGUGUGUGUGAGGUAAUGGCAUGUGUGAGUGAGUGUGAGUGGUAAUGGUGUGUGUGAGUAUAUGGUGUAUGUGAAUGGUCUAUGUGUGUGUGAAUGGGGAGUGAAUGGUGUGUGAGUGACUGGUGUGUGUCUGGUGUUUAUGAAUGGUGUGUGUGAGUGAAUGCUGUGUGAAUGGUGUUUAUGAAUGGUGUGUGUGUGAGUGAAUGCUGUGUGAGUGACUGGUGUGUGAAUGGUGUUUAUGAAUGGUGUGUGAAUGAAUGGUGAGUUUUUGUGUGUGUGUUUUGUUUGUGUGUGUGUGUGUGUGAAUGAUCUGUGUGUGUGAGCCUGCCCUGUGAUGGGUUGGUGUCCCAUCCUGGGUUGUUCCCUGCCUCGUGCCUGUAGCCUCUGGGAUCCAUCUGACCGCCUGUUCCAAAAGGCAAAUUGAUCCCCACAUCCCUGAACAGGAGAAGCGGUUUUAGAAAAUGGAUAAAUGUUCCCAGAGGUGUGAGGCAACAGUGCUAACCACUGUACCAUGCAUAUGUAUAGGAUAUGUAGAAGAAUACCUGUUGCAGUUAUCUGAUGUGUGUGUUUUUCACUCUCCCUGCCGGCCCCUGGAGGUUUGGGCUUCCCCUUUGAGUCUGGUGCCUCCCAAGGUUUCUUCCUUCUAGGGAGUUUUUCCUUGCCACUGUCGCCUAUGGCUUACUCACUGGGGGCUUUGGGUGGGGGUGCUCUAAAGCGCUUUGAGACAAUGUAAUGUUGUGAUAUCGUGCUAUACUUUGUUGUGUAAUUUUCUAUUUACUCAUGCAAAUAAAUAAUUGUUUGAUAA